rnacentral:tRNA from 1 species
GCAUUAGUCGAUGCCCCGGUAGCUCAGUUGUAGAGCUCCUGUAUGUGGUGAGCGAAAGCGCUUAGCAAUAACUGUCAAAAGGUAGCAGGUUCGAAUCCUGCCCGGUGGCUA